UCGAGGUCGAGGAUCUCUGACCGCGGGACUCCGCGCGCCCGGCGAGCGGACCGAUCGACCAACGCCGCAUUUGCCCGGGGUGGCGAGAUUAUUAUACAGGCCCGAGACGAGUUUAGCUCCUCGCGAUAUUAUUAUACGCACCAAAGGAAGUCUGAAGAGGGCUCUCUUCAGGGUCAAUGGCAGGGGAGUGGCUGACCGUUAAGUCGUCCCCUCGAGGGCUGCGAUCGGGCUCCUCUACUGAAUGGCAGACACACGGAGAGCGAAAAUCGACGUCCACCGUCGUGCCAAUCGUUUUUUCAAGCCUUUUUUUCUAUUUUGGCACCGGACGAGGAUGCGCCUCGGCUGUUUUUUGCCCUUCGAUGGCACGCGAGUCGGCUUGCUCGCGGAUGCGACACCUGGAGGUCAAUUUAAAUCCGGUUGGAAUGAAAUUAGUUGACCUUAUCGCCGAAGUCUCGGGGUUAAUGAACUUGCCGAAUGAUAAAUUUGGAGUUCACGCGCUCAUUGAAAGGAAAAAUCAUUUUUUCCUCGUGGAACGAUGCAGUCGAGCUUUUUUCGAGCAACAAAAAUGAAUUUAUUGAAUUUUUUUUGGAAUUUCGAUCUUCCCAAAUGACGAGGAUAAAUAAUUUGAAAAAACAAGGAGAUAAAAAAAUUUCUGAGCCAAUUGAAACAUUUUGUAAAAACACAAGAAAAAUCUUGAGGAUUCGGCAACAAAAAAAUGUCAAUUGUCAAUAAUUCGUGCGAGAAAAAAAAAACAAGUUGAAAAGUAAGUUAUCAGAUUUUUGAAAGAAGAAAAAAUGAGUAUGGCAAAGAAAAUGUAUAAACAUGAAUCAGGAAGAAAAACGUUGAAACGAUCGCGGAGCAUUUGAGGCUCGAGGACUCUGGAGAAUUAAUUGUGUCGUUUAACGAAAGUGGAGAAAUAAAAUGGCUGUUAAUUGCA